AUUGAACGCUGGCGGCAAGCCUAACACAUGCAAGUCGAACGAGUGGCGGACGGGUGAGUAAUGUAUGGGAAACUGCCUGGUGGAGGGGGAUAACUACUGGAAACGGUAGCUAAUCCCGCAUACCAUCGGAUGUGCCCAGAUGGGAUUAGCUAGUGGGUGGGGUAAAGGCCCACCUUGGCGACGAUCCCUAGCUGGUCUGAGAGGAUGACCGGCCACACUGGAACUGAGACACGGUCCAGACUCCUACGGGAGGCAGCAGUGGGGAAUAUUGGACAAUGGGGGCAAGCCUGAUGCAGCCAUCCCGCGUGUAUGAAGAAGGCCUUCGGGUUGUAAAGUACUUUCAGCGGGGAGGCGGUACCCGCAGAAGAAGCACCGGCUAACUCCGUGCCAGCAGCCGCGGUAAUUC
rnacentral:rRNA from 1 species